GCCAGCCCGGCCGCGCCCUGAUCGCGAUCACAGUCGAUAGCGGGGUCGAUCAGGCGGACCGACGGAGGACCCGCGUCGCCGCCGUCCGCGCGGCCACCUCCGUGACCCCCCGGUCGCGCCCCGGCUGCGCCCGGCGCCGCCCCCCAGUGCCCUCCCGGUGCCCGCCAAGAGUGUCCACUUCCCGGUGGCGCCCUCCCCGCCAGUCGCCAGUCGGCGCCGGCCAAGUGCCUCUCGUGUCUCUUCCGGGCCUCCCCGCCGCCCCCUGGAGGCACCUCGGCGACAACCCCUGCGGGGGCAGCAGCACCGCUUCACGCCACUGCUCAUACCAAGCUCCACGGAAGGCGCGAGGCGAAGGUCUACCUGCGGAAGCGAAGCGGCGGCGCGCUCCUCGGCACGCGAAGACAGGACAGCCUGGCUCUGAGCCCGCCGUCACCGCCGCCCUCCAGAGGGAAGUCCUCCCGGUGUGCCGGGGCAGCGGGAGAGCCGGGGAGAUCGUCCUCAUCCUCUCCACCGCGGUCGAGUGCCCCCCGCAGGCUCCGGGCUCCCCUGACUCCGCUGACGCGCUGGCCGGCGCCCAGGCCGGCGCACCGCGGCCGAGGCCAUGCACCCCCGCAAGGAGGCCCUGUGCCGGGUGUGCGGCGACAAGGCGUCCGGCAAGCACUACGGCGUGCCGAGCUGCGACGGCUGCAGGGGGUUCUUCAAGAGGAGCAUCCGUCGGAACCUGGCGUACGUCUGCAAGGAGGGCGGAGGCUGCACCGUGGACGUCAGCAGGAGGAACCAGUGCCAGGCGUGCCGCUUCAGGAAGUGCCUCGAGGUCAACAUGAAGAAGGACG